UACGUAGGGUGCAAGCGUUGUCCGGAAUUAUUGGGCGUAAAGAGCUCGUAGGCGGUUUGUUGCGUCGGCUGUGAAAUCCCGAGGCUCAACCUCGGGUCUGCAGUCGAUACGAGCAAACUAGAGUGUUGCAGGGGAGACUGGAAUUCCUGGUGUAGCGGUGAAAUGCGCGAGAUAUCAGGGAGGGAACACCCGGUGGGCGAA
rnacentral:rRNA from 1 species